UCUUACUUCUCUUUUUGAAGCUCCAAUUUUUCUCCAUAAAGCAGACGAAAGCGAAUCUCAUUCUUUCUCUUCAUUAUCGAAUUCUUUUCUUUUUAUUCAUUCUUCUGCUGUAUUGGGUUUUCUUUGAAUUACGAUGUCAAUGGCGAGGCCUAAUCAGGAGGCAAUUGAGACAUUUAUGAGCAUCACUGGCAAUUGAUCUAAUCAGCGUUCGUUCAUAAACAGCACCAAAAAGAUUCACAACCAGCGAUUUCAAUAUGUGUACAAAAAGAAAGUGGCUGAGAAACUGAGUUUGCAUUCAGAAGUAAAUCUGUUGAAGAUGCUGGUUUUUAGGGCAGCGCUUCAAAACAUUUGCAAUCACCAAAUGUGUUCGGUAAAUUGCCAAAGUUGUGGCAUGAGAAAAUCCAAAACAAAACAAAAUGGUGUGUUACCAAGUGGAUAUGCACGGAGAAUUGGGUCCUAAAUACAGAAAAAUUGGCUGAAUCACGGAAGAUCUAGAAGGCUCAACAUAAAAAUUGUCUAAGUAGUAACCAAGUUGAGUGUCUCUUGUUGAAGCAAUCAUCGGCCAAACUUCUUACCAGUGAAGCAAUCAAGUCCUUGAGGUAUGCAUUUAAGGUUUCUCUUACUUAGGGUUGAUUGCAGCACAACUUGAAUAACUACAGCAUAACUUGAAUUCAGGUUUUCUCUUGCUUAGAGUUGACUGCAACUAUGCAUACUAGAAAGAGAGAAUGAGAAUUUUCGUGCAGUGUUGUUUCCUUAUUCUUGGAGCUUCGUUUGAGAUUUCUUUGUUAUGAUUUUUUAUAUUUAUCUUUCUGUAAUUGAGAAAAAGGCUAAAGUGAGAGAAUGAAAAAGUCAAAAUAAUUGUGUAUUUAGUUUUUGUUGAAUUAGGAUUAGUUCUUCUUAGCCAAGUUGGGAUAACACUUGGUGGUUGUUGAACCAUAUUAGAGUCUUCCAUAGUCAAGUUGGGAUAGUACUUGGUGGAUACUAGGUUUAGGUUAGAAAUUUAAUGGGGGAUACUAGAUGAAUUAGGUUGUAAUUCAUUGGUAUUGGUGCAUGUAAUUAGUUUGAUUAUAGUUGAAAUUUUACCAUGGUUGUGGUGGAGACUGGACGUAGAUUUUAUUGCACUUAGAAACCAAACCAGGAUACAUGUUUGUGUGGUUCUUUUUCUCUAUUAUGUUUUGCUCUACUUUUGAGUCAACUCGCUUUCUCAAGUUCUAAGAUCUUGACAAUGGUUACAGGUUAAAAAUUCACUAUUAUUAUCACUAAUUACAACAUGAUAAUUAUAAAGAGUAAACCUAAUUCGUUAAUCUCUACAAAUUAAGGAAUGUCGAUUAAGCUUAAUUAACCUAAUUCAUAAAUGUUAACUAACUUACUAAUUGAAUUUAGUAAAAAGUUAGUGUUAACAAAAACAAGGUUAAUUAAUAGUUCUAAUUAUUAAUCAAUUUAGACAUUAGUAACUCAAGAUUACCAUAGUUUUCAAUUCAAUCCAAGAAUAAAAAAAAUAUAUUUUAUAACUAGUUCAAGCAUUUUGUCAAAUACUUAGAGUGCACAAGGAUAAAACAUUAUAAAUCGCAACAAUUGGUAAAAACUACAACUAUCUAAUUCAAGAACACAACAAUAACAUCUCAAAUAAGUAAGAAUAACAUAAAAUAUCAAAUUCAUUAAUAAAAAAACAUAAAUCCAACAAGAGGUUAUAAACUAAAUGACAAGAUAAAGAAAAAUAACAAGAGAAUCUAAGCAAAAGGCGAGGAUGUAUUUGGUUAGGUGGAUUAAGAAUUUAAACUUUGAUUAACCUAAAUCUCUAUCUAACCUACAACAACUUUUUAAAUCCUAAUGUAUAAAUCUAAUUACCCAUAGUGUUUUAUCCAUAUUUCACUUUUCACACACAUCUAUGCAUCUUUAACUAAUUCACAUCAUAUAUGCACCUAUUUCUAAAAAGAGUAAACUAAUAAAAAUACAUCUAAAUAAUUUUGUCCCUACCAAAAAUGCACCCAAAUUUUAUUAUCGAAAAAAAUACUCUCAAAUAAUUUAAAAAUACGACAAAAAUGUCCAAAAAAAUAUUAUCUUUUUGUA